UACGUAGGGGGCUAGCGUUGUCCGGAAUUAUUGGGCGUAAAGAGCUCGUAGGCGGUCUGUCGCGUCUGCUGUGAAAACUCAGGGCUUAACCCUGAGCUUGCAGUGGGUACGGGCAGACUAGAGUGCGGUAGGGGAGACUGGAAUUCCUGGUGAUAGCGGUGAAAUGCGCAGAUAUCAGGAGGAACACCGGUGGCGAAGGCGGGUCUCUGGGCCGAUGACUGACGGCUGG
rnacentral:rRNA from 1 species